rnacentral:rRNA from 1 species
UGGGCGCUACACAUGCAAGUCGAACGGUAACAGGAAGCAGCUUGCUGCUUCGCUGACGAGUGGCGGACGGGUGAGUAAUGUCUGGGAAACUGCCUGAUGGAGGGGGAUAACUACUGGAAACGGUAGCUAAUACCGCAUAACGUCGCAAGACCAAAGAGGGGGACCUUCGGGCCUCUUGCCAUCGGAUGUGCCCAGAUGGGAUUAGCUAGUAGGUGGGGUAACGGCUCACCUAGGCGACGAUCCCUAGCUGGUCUGAGAGGAUGACCAGCCACACUGGAACUGAGACACGGUCCAGACUCCUACGGGAGGCAGCAGUGGGGAAUAUUGCACAAUGGGCGCAAGCCUGAUGCAGCCAUGCCGCGUGUAUGAAGAAGGCCUUCGGGUUGUAAAGUACUUUCAGCGGGGAGGAAGGCGAUAAGGUUAAUAACCUUGUCGAUUGACGUUACCCGCAGAAGAAGCACCGGCUAACUCCGUGCCAGCAGCCGCGGUAAUACGGAGGGUGCAAGCGUUAAUCGGAAUUACUGGGCGUAAAGCGCACGCAGGCGGUCUGUCAAGUCGGAUGUGAAAUCCCCCGGGCUCAACCUGGGAACUGCAU